CCCUUAGAUGUCCUGGGCCGCACGCGCGCUACACUGAUGCAUUCAACGAGUUUUACCUUGGCCGAGAGGCCUGGGCAAUCUUUUAAACCUGCAUCGUGAUAGGGAUAGAUUAUUGCAAUUAUUAAUCUUGAACGAGGAAUUCCUAGUAAACGCAAAUCAUCAAUUUGCAUUGAUUACGUCCCUGCCCUUUGUGCACACCGCCCGUCGCACCUACCGAUUGAAUGGUCCGGUGAAGCCUCGGGAUUGUGGCCAGUUCACUUUAUUGGGAGUUGGCUGUGAGAACUUGUCUAAACCCUAUCAUUUAGAGGAAGGUGAAGUCGUAACA
rnacentral:rRNA from 1 species